CUUUUUUAAUUCUAUUUCUUUUGCAUUACUAAUACAUGCAAAAAAUACCCUGUAGCAGGUUCAUAUCAGAAGUAUGGUAGUUCAUAACUCUCAACAGUGUAGAUAUAGAGUAUUAUAAUACAGCACUAUAGCUAACAAUACUCUUAAGUUUAGAGCGAGCUGUCCCAGUCACCAUAUCAAUAUGAAACAAAGAAAUCUGAGUUACAGUAUCCUCUUAAAAUCCACUAGAAUAGCAGACACUGAUUAGAUAAAUCUUACCCCUGUACUGCUUGCGUUUACCUAUAAUUCUGAGAGAAAAAACCCAAUACAAGCAUGUUUCACCUGGCUGGUAGAGAAGAACUUUUGAAGAGAGACUUUCCCUUCUGGAUCAUUUCUGUGUCUUUCUUAUUUGACAGCAUCAGGCUGUUUUCACUGUGUGGUGAUAGCUUGAACAGUGCCCUUCAUACUUGGGUACGUGGGUCUGUGCUGAACACCACUGCCUUCAGCGGGCUUGUUCAGGGAGUGGGGAUGAUGGCACUUGGUAGGGAAAGGGCAUUGGGAUCUGACUGUCAGUGGAAAAGCCUGCUGUGCGAAGCUGCUGAUGGUAUCAGAUGUAGGGGGCCCUUCUUUGCAGAGUUUACAGAUGCUGAGGGCUUGGUUCACCACAGAUGCUGGAAGGUUCCUUCAGGUCAGUGCAAUGCAUGUCUGCUGAACAGAUUGGGAAAGCUUGCAUGCUGCACACACAAAACGUAUUUUGUAACUAGAGAAAUCAUUGGGCAAAGCAUCUAGCACCAUCAGCAAAUGUGCUGGUUUUGCUAAAAUUUAUCAGUGGAUAAUUAUAGCAUUUAUUUUACCGUGACUAACUUUUGAAGAGCCCCUCAAGCUCUUUAGCAAUCAUUUGAUAGGUCACAUUUACUGCAGCAUGAUCAAAGGGAGCAGAGCUCAGUUCUGUAGCUCACUACGUUACCAUUGAAGACAUAAGAGUUCAUUUCACCAUCUACAUUCUUACUUAAUGCAGCAGUCAGUCUCUGCUUGAGCCUGGAAGGUUUUAAAUUGUGUGUUUGUUCAAGUUUUGCUUUUCCUCUGUGAGUCAGAGGUUUCAUCCACUAAGGAGCAGAAGCACUGCAACACUUGGUGCCUGGAUCCAGACUACAAUCCAAAACACAAGGUAUUAUGCAUGUGCUUCUCCUGAAUCAUCUCUCACUCAUUCAAGACAGAAGAAAUGGGCACAUCUUCCAGCCAUUCAUCACCAGCGCUGGGAGUUUGGUGGUCUGAAAGCUGGCAUCAGAGCACACACCUUGUUUCACAGGCGUGGUGCUCUGCCUCAGUGUUGGAGGUCAUGGUGCUUGGGCAGGAGCCAGGGGGCCUGCGCUAGGCAGUGGCAGCACCAGCAGCAGGCUACACACCGCAGCAGCCCUGGGAAGGAAGACCCAGUGCCUGGGUUUUAGGCACUUGCUGGAUGAGAUCAGAAUUUAGCAGAGAUGGGGUCUGGGGUUAACUUCUGGAUUUAGCUGCCUAAAGUCGGCUGAAAUCCUGAUUUAGACAGUUUUUGUUGGGUUAGAUUGUUUUGGAGUUUUUUUGGUUUGUCCUUUCUCUUCAGUGAGCAGCAGCAGAGAUUGUUUGAUUUUUUUAAGAUAAUUUCAUGCAGUGAAUAAAUUGUCUUCGUUCUUCAGAAGUGGAUUUUCUUCACUGCUAGCCUAUCUCCAGGUAUUAGAGUGGGGUUCUCUGUCAGGGUCCUAUCAUAGGCUCAAAUAAGGAUUUCCUCUCCUACUGUGGUGUAGAAAAGGAAGAAGUGCCUUGCCGCCCAGUCUUCUUUGUGAAAACACUUCAGCCACUGGAAUAAUUGUUCAUUCUAAAUAGCAGGACUCCAGCUUUCAACCACAGCAGGGGUCUUCAUGAAUGUCACUACAAAGCAUGCUUCAUGCUUGUGGGAAAGAUGGGGUAUAAGGGGAGGAUCACCAUUAUGCCAGCACAGUCUGAGCACAUUAAAAAUACAGUAUAACAAAUGUGGGAUGAAACCAUCAAAGGUAUUCAUGUUUUACAAUCCAAAUGAAAAUAUGUUGCAAUAUGUCUGUACACAUGAUGUUUCAAGUGACAUAUAUUGGAAUUGUGGAAUUUUUCCUAUAAUUAAUAAGAAUAUUCUUAAUCAUGAUGCCCAGGAGAAAAAAAAAAUAUUGCUUUGCAGAUUGAUUAAUUUGUAAAUACAAAGAGAAGGCUUUGAAGAUGAAAAGCAUAAUGCUUUGCAUGUCUAUGACUCUCCCACUCAAAGCUGGGAGGCUGCUCGCAAACAGUGGUGCUUUCAGACUUGCAACGCCUUAUUGAACUAAAUGUUGUCUUUAUUUUGCUUAUUUGGAAAAUGAGAGGGAAAACAUGACACAGCCAAAGUCACACAGGGAAGUCAGUGACAGAACCAAACCAGAAUAACUACCUGUUGAGUAGUUAUUCUCAAACCAUUAGACUACCCUGCCUGCAAACACUGAAGGUAUUACUUGUAAGGUUUAUUAUGAAGUGCUUUCAAGCAUAGUGCCUGCAAUAGAAAAACCUUUAUUUUUGUAAGGUCCCCUAGCAAGUUAGGUUCAGUGCACAUCAAUGUAUGUAAAGGCCAUCUGCAGACUUGUUACAUCCACAGAUAGAAUAUUAUGAUACCAAACUGAUGAGAAGCAAAAAUUCACUACACACUACAGACACAUAGGAAUGCAACUCCUUUUCCUCCUUCUGUGCAAUCUGUGCUGAUGGGAACAGCGUUUCAGAUAUAUUAAUACUCUGAGAGAUUGAUGCGCAGAGGCACAAUGACGGAUGGCAUUAUGUGAAGAAAUUAUCUAUAUCUGCUCUUCGAUAUUACUCCUAGAAAGUUUUCAAUUCUAGCUCAGCUCUACAAGCCUAUUUUUGGUGGCUUCAGCCCUCAGUAGAGGCUGAAGGCUUCCAAUAGCAAGCUCUCUGAGAUCUGUGUGUUCAGGGACACGAACCCUACCUCCUGUGGGAGUGGCUUCUCUGGUUUCAGGUACACCAGGUUCACCAGUUCACUAUCCAGGGCACAGAAGGGUCAUCCCUACCAGGUCUGUCUCACACCCCACAGGGAAUUCCCUCUCAUCAGAAGCACCUUUCUUGCACCCACUGAAACCCUGGGGAGUCCCAGGCAUGUAGGUAUCGACAAAUGCUUUCAGCAAGAACAAAAAAAAAGAUGCUUUUGUGUGGCUAGCACCGCAUCAACCCUCCUCCUGCACAUGGCCAAGAUCACUGAUUUUGUUUCAACUUUUAUGUUAUGAAUAGAAAGAUGUUACUGUGGCAAGAAAUACUGCAGAGGUCUAUUUCAUGCAUGUAUUUAAGUCAUACUUUUUUACAAUUUAACAUUGUUUACACAAAACCACAGCAAUAUAAAUCUAUACCUUCUGAAUUAUAUUGCAGGAGAAUAAGACUAGAAAAAACUAUAAUGUAGAUAUACUUUUUUUAAAAUGGUACUUAAAUAACAACAUAGCAAAUUGUUCAUUUAAGAUGUACACAAAAAUCGCCGCUUUUUCACAAAGUGGUGCUAAAAUAGUCAUUCUAUUAAAUUUUUAGAAUUAACACUUUGAUUUGACUGUAAUCGUUUACAAGAAUGUGUAAAAUCCAGAAGCAGAAAACAGGAUGUAUGCCCAAAGGAUGUAUGUCAGCUACCCUGUGAGAGAGAGGUCUCUCUCCUCUGCAGAUACCCACAGCGCCUGUGAACAGAGGGAGGUAUCUCAGUGCUUGUUUCAUGUUCUCUGAUCAGUAGGAUGGUGUUUAAAGUUGUGCCUUAUUAAAACUCAUAUUCGUAAUUUCCUGCAUUUCCAUGUCACUGUUUCAUUGUUUUGAGGAUCCAGCACAAUUAAGGGCAUCUCACGGGAACUGAUAGAUACUAGGAAAAUUUACUGUCAGCCAUGUAAAUAAUAAAGGACACAUAAAAAUGUAUGUGCAAGAUGAAGAACCACUUCCUUUCAAUAUGUUAGUGCUAGAAAGGCCUAGCCAAUCUCAUGUCACUUUCUACAUUUGCAAUAAAAGCUAAAAUUGAUAUUUUAUGUUACUGGAAAUUUGCCCAGAUGUGGAAAAUGACCUAUGGCAAGUGUCUUCUGAGAGGCAGUUGGAAAAAAUACUGCAUUUCUUUAGUGAUUUCACAUGUUACACUUGCUUUUAGUUAGGGGUUUAUUGGGAAAGCUAAUUUGUGCUACUAAACAAGUCGUAGAAAAUAGUUGCAGAGAGUUUACCUGUAAUCUUAACUCCUGUCACAUAUGCCCAUUUACUGCCUCUACUAACCUAGCUUCAUGUUUUGCUUAUCCACCUCCUGUAUCUUUCAUCAAAUACAGUAUUAAUUAUACCAAAAGAGGUAGGGGAAGAAAGAAGAGAAGGUUCCAUCUGUACAGUGGGGCUUAUUUCUGCAGGGGACAAUAGAAACUCACUGAAUUUACAUGAGCUUUUCCUGAGCGGGUGGAGGAGCAAGAGGGUGGAAGGCAGGGUGACCUACAAGGGAUAGGCAGGAAAUUCAGCCCACUACACUCACAGAUUUCUUUGAUAUCUGCUGGAGCCCAAGACCACCUACAUUGAGACCUUCAUCCCUGCACUGCUUUUGCUGCCUCAGCCCAUUUCUGCUUUCCCAGUACAAGAUCCUAAGACACAACCUGGGAAUAGAAAAAAAUGGUUAAAUCAUCGACUAAUGUAAACUUGGCUGGCUCAAGGAAAAAGCGAUAGGCAACAAUCCUUUCCUACAGUUUUUAGCAUUACUUUACCCUAGUUUCCAGCAUGGACUAUAGCUUUUAUUCUUGUGGGUUACUAUAGCUUUGUUUUGAAUUAAAGUUUUUUAUUUAUUUUGGAACAGAAUUUGGCUUGGAAGAAACUUUUUUGUUCUGGUCUGUGGAAUCACCCAAGGCCCACAGUGUGAUCAAAGUGAUUUUGUGUUACAUGUGUUUUUUCAAAGUAUUUUCUUUCUACAGAUUCAUAGCAAGUGUAUCCAGAAAUUUAGAUAAAUCCCACUUUUCAUUUUGUUUUGACUUAAAAAAUAAAAUGCACCAAAGUAAGUGGUUGAAGCAAAGAAGCCUUCGCUGAAUUGCCCAGGAGCAUCAAUAGACAUCGGGGUUUAAAUUGCAGGAUCAGAUCCAGAUAGUAAUAAAAUAUUUGGCUUUUUGGGAAAAGAAUGCUGUUUGUUCUUACAACACCUCUGCCAGCUAGUGCAAGGUGUAGGAUUACUAAUCCUCCUCAGGGGAAGCCAUGCGUGGCAUUCUUCUCUUUGGUGGUGGCAUUCAAGAGAGUCCUGGACAGAGGAAAAAGUAAUAGGAGCAAUAAUGACAGUCUCUGAAUGAGGCCCUGAGAAAUAGCCCAGGCCCUGCUGCCCGGCUGCCUUCAUCCAAGCAUGAAGAACAAUUGUGCAUUUGUUUCAGAUACCAAGUUACCUAAUAUUAAAAACACUUCCUUUAAUUCUUAAGUAUUUCACCACCUGAAGUUUCUGUCUGAAGCUUUCAAAGAAGCAAGAAAAAACAAGAACUACAGAUAAGGGAAAGGAGGAAAACUAAAAGGAGUUUGUCGUUAGUGCAGUCAUAAUUCAAGGAAGAAAGGGCAUGAAGAUAAGUUCUUUUCAACUUUUUGAUGCCUGAUAACACCUCCUUGUUCCACCACUUUCUGUUAGAAUAAAUUCUGGAAUAAAGAAUAGAAUGAAUCUCAAAAGAAAAAUAUGUAUUGUGUGCCAUAAAUUAUACAAGCAGAUGCAGCCAUGAACGAAAGAAUUAAGGACAUAAAAUGCCUGCAGUGUGCACUGGCUCAUGAAGGGCUGGAGGAUGCCAAGGGACACUGUGUGACCACUGUGCAGUCCAAGCUAGGAUCUUGCUCUAAACAUCAGCCUUCAGCCUUGUCAUGCAGGGACUUGCUACCUUUCCCUUCUCACUAUUCUUCUUAAAUAGCUCUUUUACAUAUCACUAGUUUGCAGUUUAAUUAAUGUUUUGGCCAUAACCAGCUUGUGGUAUAUUUUCCAGAUGUCCAUGAAAUCUUGCAAUGAAGAAUUUUACAUCUUUUCCCCAAAACAUCCCUUCAGACAAAUAUUCUCACAUGAAUGUGAAUGAGUCCCUCUAGACUAAGGAAUGGGUAGAAUAGGCCAAGGGACAAGUCUUCAUCUGCUGUAACGUUGCAGAGCACUUUCAGCUACAGCUGAAGUCUUGAUUUCAUUAAUUUUUAUUUGUUAGAAAAAGUGUUAUAUAGCUUUAUGGUGCUAUAUACAGAAAUAAUUACGAAUAACCUAGCUAGCUGCUUAAUGCUCAUCAGAGACUUCAUUCAACUGAACAGUUUUUUGGCAAAGUCAAAACUCUUCAUACAGAUUUUUCAGAUUUACAUGUCUAUAAUGUCUCCCCAUUCCUUCCUGGCAUUUUUUAUUUCAAGACAUCAGCAGCUAUUUUCUUAUUCAGCAAUCAAUUCAGCAGGGAAAAAAAGCUUAACAACAUUGAUGCAAUUUAGUGUCAUAUGACCAAUUAAGAAAAAAAUGCAUUUCAAACAAGUUGAUGGCAUUCAUUUCAUAUCUGUAAGAUGUUUUAAAGAAAACCUGUAUAAGACUCUGUAAAAGGACAUCUUGCCAGCUUCAGUAUUUUAAAUGUCAUUUGGUGACCAUCCAAGAAUAAGGAGUAAAUAAUACUUUAUGCUGGAAAAGAAUACAUAUGACUCAUGAUUUUCAGCUGUUAUACAUGUGAACUUGUGGAAAAUGAUGCCAUUAGAGAUCAGAAGCAGAGCAAAAUAGCUGUUUACAUUCAGCUAUGCUGAGCAGAUCAGAACUGCUGGAGGACUGCAGAAAAAAUGUCCUUUUCUCUCUUGCUCGUGUCCUCCAUGGGCUAUGUCCUGCUUAGAGUUGCUUCAUAUUCAAGCAAUACAAUUAGGGGAGAGUUCUGAUAGGAUUUAGUAUUUUGUACUUUUUCCAUUUGUCUAAUGAAGAGUGAUUGCUCUGUCAUUCGUUCACCAUUUCCUUCCAUGUGAAAGUAGGAAAUAUGGCAUAUGAAGACUGAAACCCAGGGUUUUUCCAUCCCUGCAUGUUUUCCCUUUGAGUGCAGAAACUCAGGUUAUCCCAGAGUAGGAGAGGAAAUGUAGUAAUAAAGUUCUUGGCUUCAUCACAAUCCCCUUUCUGACCCGACCAGAAGAAAGUAUAUGGAAAGAGAUUGAGCUAUUCAGGAUAAGUAUAGAUGAAUGGCAAAACUAUGUUGAGGUAAAAUCAGAAAGACAAGCACAAAAUAAGAGAAGCAGGGACAGUGAGGUUACAAGUUGUCAUUCUACAAGUGCAUAUGAAGAAGGCCAGGAGAGUGCUGGUCCGCUACUCAGGUGCAAGACAGCUACUGAUAGAUGGCAGGGAAGGUACAAGUAGUUAAUGACUUUUUUUGUAUCUGUCUCAAUUAAAGCUGUAUUUCAACAAAUGUGCUAAGCCAGUGCCGUUGCGGAAAAAUUUAGCUACAUCCUCCCUGUUCCACCCCGUUCCCACCUCCUUGCUGCCUGCCUGCAUCCCUCUGCCUCAGCUACGGCACUAUGUAAGGGUGCACUGUGGUCUGGAUGGAGGAAUUGAUCCAGCUGAAAAUUAACCUAGUAAAUAGGUGAUUGUUACUAGGAUCAAUUAGUUCUGCAGUUUGAUUCAUCUCAUGGCUGCGCUGUAUUCAGAUUUAGGGCAGACUGAUUGCAGGAUGGGUAGUUACUGUCUCUGAGUGACUAGAUGUAUAAGGUGCCUGUCUUUAAAAAAGGGAAAAAGGGAUCUAGGAGAUUAUUGAUCAGUCUGGUUAAAUUCAAUUCCUGCCCAAAAAUUUAGGAUGUUUUAAACAAACUACUUAUAAGUGCCUAGAAGAUAAAGAGGAAGUACAAAGCAGAGUCAAAACUUGGUAAAAAAUCACUGUCACAGUUGCAAUAGUGAAAUGGCAAAAGCCUGAGUAGGCAUUAGGACUGAGGUGUCUUUACUGUCCGCUUCCCAAACAAUAUGUAGAAUGUCUGGGAUUUCAUUUUUCUACUCUCUUGCCUUUUUUGGAUCCACUCCUACGAUGCUCAACAAGCUGAUGAAGUAAAAAGGCUUUUCACAAUGACUGCAGUAUUUGCUUUCAGUUAAAAGUGUCUAAUUGCUGUUUAGCAGGAAAACAUGUACACCUGCAGAGAGGAGAGCUGUUUCUGGGCUUGAUGCUCUUGAGCAUCUGUAAUCAGUACAUCUGAAAAUAUUUUGAAGUGAGCUCAGCCUGUAUUUGUCUUCAUAUCAGAAAGCAUGGCUAGGGACAGAAUCAAAUGUUUGGGUGUGUUUACAUUAUUCCCUUAUAUGAGGUGAAAGGCAUUUAUGCCUCUGUUUUGUCUGCAUUCACAGGCAUCUACACAUAAAGGCAUUCUGUACAAACUGUCCUCCCUUUCUCCCAUAAAAGAGUAAGAACCUAAGAUGAUUGAUUUCUUAGUGGCACAAUCUCCUAAGCAGGCAUUGAAAAUGAUCAUUAACCUUGAAGGCUAGAUUAUCUAUUUUCUGG
rnacentral:lncRNA from 1 species